GUAGGUGAACCUGCGGAAGGAUCAUUAUCACAUGAUUCCAUGUAUAAACCAUUGUGCAUUGUCACCCCCUUUGGAUUGAAAUCGGAAAUGAAAGAAGCGUUUUAAUGGUCAUUAUUGUAAUUUGAAGACCAAGUUUCUUUCUAGUCUGUCUUGAGCUUUCGGGCGAGAGAUAUGACAGCUGAUCUCAACUUAUAUCCAAAGUGUAAUUCAAAUUACAUACUUAUUGAUUAACAAUUGAAACCCCUUUUAA
rnacentral:misc_RNA from 1 species